rnacentral:rRNA from 1 species
GACAGCAUUGUUACCACCUUGCUACCUGAUUUCAUCAGAUCAGAAGCUAAGCAAAGCUGGGACUGGCCAGUACUGGGAUGGAAGAUGUCCAAGGAAAACCUCUAAGGAAGCUGAUU